CCUACGGGUGGCAGCAGUGGGGAAUAUUGGGCAAUGGGCGCAAGCCUGACCCAGCAACGCCGCGUGAAUGAAGAAGGCUUUCGGGUUGUAACCUUCUUUUAAGUGGGAAGAGCAGAAGACGGUACCUCUUGAAUAAGCUACGGCUAACUACGUGCCAGCAGCCGCGGUAAUACGUAGGGGGCAAGCGUUGUCCGGAUUUACUGGGUGUAAAGGGCGUGCAGCCGGGAAGACAAGUCAGAUGUGAAAUCCCGCGGCGCAACCGCGGAACUGCAUUUGAAACUGGUUUUCUUGAGUACCGGAGAGGUCAUUGGAAUUCCAUGUGUAGCGGUGAAAUGCGUAGAGAUAAGGAGGAACACCGGUGGCGAAGGCGGAUGACUGGACGGCGACUGACGGUGAGGCGCGAAAGCGUGGGGAGCAAACAGGAUUAGAUACCCCAGUAGUC
rnacentral:rRNA from 1 species